rnacentral:rRNA from 1 species
UACGUAGGUGGCGAGCGUUGUCCGGAUUUACUGGGCGUAAAGGGAGCGUAGGCGGACUUUUAAGUGAGAUGUGAAAUACCCGGGCUCAACUUGGGUGCUGCAUUUCAAACUGGAAGUCUAGAGUGCAGGAGAGGAGAAGGGAAUUCCUAGUGUAGCGGUGAAAUGCGUAGAGAUCAGGAAGAACACCAGUGGCGAAGGCGCUUCUCUGGACUGUAACUGACGCUGAGGCUCGAAAGCGUGGGGAGCAAACAGGAUUAGAUACCCGGGUAGU